rnacentral:rRNA from 1 species
GAUCAUGGCUCAGGAUGAACGCUAGCUACAGGCUUAACACAUGCAAGUCGAGGGGCAGCAGGAAUCUAGCUUGCUAGAUUGCUGGCGACCGGCGCACGGGUGAGUAACGCGUAUCCAACCUUCCCCAUAGUAGAGGAUAGCCCGGCGAAAGUCGGAUUAAUACUCUAUGUUGUAUUUUGAGGACAUCUGACGAAUACCAAAGAUUGAUCGCUAUGGGAUGGGGAUGCGUCUGAUUAGGUUGUUGGCGGGGUAACGGCCCACCAAGCCGACGAUCAGUAGGGGUUCUGAGAGGAAGGUCCCCCACAUUGGUACUGAGACACGGACCAAACUCCUACGGGAGGCAGCAGUGAGGAAUAUUGGUCAAUGGGCGAGAACCUGAACCAGCCAAGUAAGCGUGCAGGACGACUGCCCUAUGGGUUGUAAACUGCUUUUAUAGGGGAAUAAAGUCCACUACGUGUAGUGGUUUGUAUGUACCCUAUGAAUAAGGACCGGCUAAUUCCGUGCCAGCCGCCGC